GCAGGAGCCGCGCAACCGAGAGGCUGCAUUUCUUGCCGGCUGCGGAGGGGGAAGCCUUUCUGCGGAGUCCCCUGCACACCGCUGUCCGAGGCCGCUCUGGACGAAUCCUCCCGCGGGGUGCAGCCUGGUGCCAGGCAAAAGCGGGGCUGCCUCCAGGUGGUGGAGAGCGGUUUGGGGGUGGGGGUGGCCUCCAGCGACGCCCGGGCCGCCUCCCGCCGGGUAAGCCCACGUAGAGCUUACCGCCCCCCCCCACCACAACACAUCGGGACCUUCCUGCACCCCCGCCCCCUACCCACCACCCAGGUGGUACCUGUGCCCGUGCAGUAACCCUUCGAACCCAGGCACCAUGUUAUAAGGAAGCCCAGGCCACAUGAAACCGCCAAGGAGGGUGUUCCGGCCAACGGCCCCAGUUCACGUCCCAGCAAACCGCCAGCCACCAGCCACCAGAUAGGUGAACGAGUAAGCCUUCAAAUGAUUCCAACCCCCUGCCCCUGCGCCACCCUACUCAACGCCAAGUGCCGUCACUGAAAGCUGCCCAGCUGACGCUGAGUGGAAUCAACAAGCUAUCCCUGCCGAGCACGGUCCAAGUAGCAAUUCAUGAGCAAACUAAAUGUUGAUGUUGUCAGUCACGACAUCUUGCGAGUUUGCUUCUCAGCGGUUGAUAGCUAGAUCUCCCGUUCCAGUGACUUCUCCUCGGCCCCCAACUUCCUGGGCACAUCAAGGGCCUCCCUGUCACCAGACACAAAGCCACCCGUCCUCUGAGGCCCUCGGCUCUGGGCCCCCUCCCUCCAGCCAGCCACGUUUUUGAGGGUCCUCGGUCCCCCUGUGCCAUUGCCACGGCUGCCUAGAUUAACAUCAGUCCACUAGGAAUCCAAGCUGGCCCUUCUCUGCUAGUCAUGUGACGUCUUCCUGGUCAGCUGCUUUCCAGCCUACCCUACCCCCUGUGGCACCGCUCCCCAUUCUCCACUCAGCGUCCACAUCAGCCCCCCACCUGCCCCUCCCCCUCUGCUUCAAGGAGACCAUGGGAGUCACAGACUAGACUCCCCGACAUCUGUCCAUCCCGUCCUGUCCACCCGCCCUCUGGUUCUAACGGGAGAGCAUCUCCUUGCCCGUCCCACAGCCGGUCCUGCUCUUGGACUCUGGAUCCCAGCUGCUCGAAGUCUAGGGCACGCUGUGCAACAGAUCUCUUUGGGAUGCUGGAGCUAUUCUGUAUCUGUGCUUUCCUAGCCACUAGCCACCUGUGGCUGCCGAGCACCUAAAAUGUGGCUAAUGCAGCCAAAGAACCGAAUUGUUUUCUUGUUUC